rnacentral:rRNA from 1 species
GGCCCCCCUGGGNNUGAGANCCGGCCCAGACUCCUACGGGAGGCAGCAGUGGGGAAUNUUGCNCAAUGGGCGCAAGCCUGAUGCAGCAACGCCGCGUGAGGGAUGACGGCCUUCGGGUUGUAACCUCUUUUAGUAGGGAAGAAGCGAAAGUGACGGUACCUGCAGAAAAAGCACCGGCUAACUACGUGCCAGCAGCCGCGGUAAUACGUAGGGUGCGAGCGUUGUCCGGAAUUAUUGGGCGUAAAGAGCUCGUAGGCGGUCUGUCGCGUCUGCUGUGAAAACCCGAGGCUCAACCUCGGGCCUGCAGUGGGUACGGGCAGACUAGAGUGCGGUAGGGGAGAAUGGAAUUCCUGGUGUAGCGGUGGAAUGCGCAGAUAUCAGGAGGAACACCGAUGGCGAAGGCAGUUCUCUGGGCCGUAACUGACGCUGAGGAGCGAAAGCGUGGGGAGCGAACAGGAUUAGAUACCCUGGUAGUCCACGCCGUAAACGUUGGGCGCUAGAUGUGGGGACCAUUCCACGGUUUCCGUGUCGCAGCUAACGCAUUAAGCGCCCCGCCUGGGGAGUACGGCCGCAAGGCUAAAACUCAAAGGAAUUGACGGGGGCCCGCACAAGCGGCGGAGCAUGCGGAUUAAUUCGAUGCAACGCGAAGAACCUUACCAAGGCUUGACAUACACGAGAACGCCCUAGAAAUAGGGAACUCUUUGGACACUCGUGAACAGGUGGUGCAUGGUUGUCGUCAGCUCGUGUCGUGAGAUGUUGGGUUAAGUCCCGCAACGAGCGCAACCCUCGUUCUAUGUUGCCAGCGCGUAAUGGCGGGAACUCAUAGGAGACUGCCGGGGUCAACUCGGAGGAAGGUGGGGAUGACGUCAAAUCAUCAUGCCCCUUAUGUCUUGGGCUUCACGCAUGCUACAAUGGCCGGUACAAAGGGCUGCAAUACCGUAAGGUGGAGCGAAUCCCAAAAAGCCGGUCUCAGUUCGGAUUGAGGUCUGCAACUCGACCUCAUGAAGUCGGAGUCGCUAGUAAUCGCAGAUCAGCAACGCUGCGGUGAAUACGUUCCCGGGCCUUGUACACACCGCCCGUCAAGUCAUGAAAGUCGGUAACACCCGAAGCCGGUGGCCC